UUACAUUUUCAUUUCUUGAGAAGAACAAUGGAACAAAAAAGAAAAAAAGUGAGUUGUUCAACUAGUUCAGUAAAGAAUAUUAUGACAAAGAUAAUGAAGAAUACAUUAUCUUUAACUUUCAACAAUGAUAAAUUAAAUAAAAUAUAAUUGACAACAAGUUUUAGAUCAAUAACUGCAGCGGAAAUAACAAUUCAUUAGAAGAGUCAAG
rnacentral:lncRNA from 1 species